AAGAAUUUAAGUUAAAUAAACUAUUAACCUUCAAAGUUAAAAAUAAAAAUAUAUUUUAAUUCUUA
rnacentral:tRNA from 1 species